rnacentral:rRNA from 1 species
GAUGAACGCUGACAGCAUGCUUAACACAUGCAAGUCUUUGGCGAAGCUGUGCUUGCACAGCCUAGCCAAGGCGGACGGGUGAGUAACGCGUAAGGAACUUGCCCUGCAGUCAGGGAUAACAGACGGAAACGACUGAUAAGACCUGGUAAAGUCAGGCGGACUCAUGUCCAGCCUGAUGAAAAGAGAUGCUGCAGGAGAGCCUUGCGUCCUAUUAGCUUGUUGGUGGGUUAACGGCCCACCAAGGCGAUGAGAGGUAGCCGGCCUGAAAGGGUGGACGGCCACAAGGGGACUGAGAUACGGCAGUGACGCCUACGGGAGGCAGCAGGGGAGAAUAGUGGACAAUGGGGGCAACCCUGAUGCAGCAAUUCUGUGUGCACGAUGAAGGUUUUCGGAUUGUAAAGUGCUUUCAGCAGGGAAGAAAAAAAUGACGGUACCUGCAGAAGAAGCGACGGCUAAAUACGUG